UGUUCUGGAAAUUUGCUAUACGUAUACAACGACUACUCAUAUCGUGCAUGAUAGGAGGUGGAAAGGAACUGAGAGGCUGUUUAACGAUGUUGGACAAAAUGGAAAUGUGACUCAAAAACAGGAAAGGUGCUGUGAGGAUGGGAGAGUUUGGGGAUUUCCUGUCUGCACGUCUAUCUUUGUUCGACGGUCGGCCCAGCAGAUUAUUGAAGACGCCCAACAUAAGCACCGUAGCAGUGAAUGCGUUGAAACUGGGUCCAAUUUAUCGUUGGGUGAAUUGGUAUCAUUACGGUUAAACUACCAACUACUACUGUUCCUAUUAUAUUAUACUACUACUAAUACGUAC